ensembl:lncRNA
CAUAGAGACCCCCAAACCCCACAGAGACCACACAGAGGCCCCAUAGAGACCCACAAGACCCCAUAGAGAUCCCGAAAUCCCACAGUGCCCCACAGAAACCCCAUAGAGAUCCCACAGAGACCCACAGUGCCCCAUAGAGACCCCCAAACCCCACAGAGACUCCAUAGAGACCCAAAGUGCCCCAUAGAGACCCCAUAGAGCCCCCCAAACCCCACAGUGCCCCAUAGAGACCCACAGUGCCCCAUAGAGACCCACACUGCCCCAUAGAGCCCCAGAGACCCACACUGCCCCAUAGGGACCCAUAGAGACCCCAUAGAGACCCCCAAACCCCAGAAAGACCCCACAGAGCCCCCAUAGAGACUCAUAGAGACCCACAGUGCCCCAUAGAGACCCCACAGAGGCCCCAUAGAGACCCUCAGUGCCCCAUAGAGACCCCAUAAAGACCCCUAAACCCCACAAAGACCCCACAGAGCCCCCAUAGAGACCCACAGUGCCCCAUAGAGCCCCACAGAGCCCCACAGUGCCCCAUAGAGACCCCCAAACCCCACAGAGACACCACAGAGCCCCCAUAGAGACCCCCAAAACCCACAGUGCCCCAUAGAGACCCCAUAGAGACCCACAGUGCCCCAUAGAGACCCACAGUGUCCCAUAGAGCCCCAUAGAGACCCACAGUGCCCCAUAGAGACCCCAUAGAGACCCACAGUGCCCCAUAGAGACCCACAGAGACCCGCAAUGCCCCAUAGAGACCCCAUAGAGACCGACAGUGCCCCAUAGAGCCCCAUAGAGACCGACAGUGCCCCAUAGAGCCCCACAGAGCCCCACAGUGCCCCAUAGAGACCCCAUAGAGACCCACACUGCCCCAUAGAGCCCCACAGAGACCCGCAAUGCCCCAUAGAGACCGACAGUGCCCCAUAGAGACCCACACUGCCCCAUAGAGCCCCAUAGAGACCCACAGUGCCCCAUAGAGACCCCGAAACCCCAUAGAGACUCCACAGAGCCCCCAUAGAGCCCCAUAGAGACCCACAGUGUCCCAUAGAGACCCCAUAGAGACCCCAUAGAUACCCACAGUGCCCCAUAGAGCCCCGCAAACCCCACAGAGACCCCAAAGAGACCCAAAGUGCCCCAUAGAGCCCCAUAGAGACCCACAGUGUCCCAUAGAGCCCCAUAGAGACCCACAGUGCCCCAUAGAGCCCCAUAGAGACCCCAUAGAGACCCACAGUGCCCCAUAGAGACCCCGAAACCCCAUAGAGACCCCACAGAGCCCCCAUAGAGACCCCAUAGAGACCCAAAGUGCCCCAUAGAGCCCCAUAGAGACCCACAGUGUCCCAUAGAGCCCCAUAGAGACCCACAGUGCCCCAUAGGGACCCAUAGAGACCCCAUAGAAACCCCCAAACCCCACAGAGACCCCACAGAGCCCCCAUAGAGACCCACAGUGCCCCAUAGAGACCCCCAAACCCCACAGAGACCCCAUAGAGACCCAAAGUGCCCCAUAGAAACCCCAUAGAGCCCCCCAAACCCCAAAGUGCCCCAUAGAGCCCCCAUAGAGACCCACAGUGCCCCAUAGAGCCCCAUAGAGACCCACAGUGCCCCAUAGAGACCCCAUAGAGACCCCACAGAGCCCCCAUAGAGACCCACAGAGCCCCAUAGAGACCCCAGAGACUCACAGUGCCCCAUAGAGACCCCCAAACCCCACAGAGACCCCAUACAGACCCCACAGUGCCCCAUAGAGACCCCAUAGAGCCCCCCAAACCCCACAGAGACCCCAUAGAGACCCAAAGUGCCCCAUAGAGACCCCAUAGAGACCCCAUAGAGACUCACAGUGCCCCAUAGAGACCCCAUAGAGCCCCCCAAACCCCACAGUGCCCCAUAGAGACCCCAUAGAGACCC